AGCCCCAGAAAAACGUGGCCUCACUGAGAGUCACAGCCAACCGCUUCAGUGCCACUGUGUCUGCGUCUGCCUCCGCUCCGAGCUCCAGCUAUUCUAAAGGAUCCGCCUCUAACUACGUGCCGGCAGUAUGUAACGGCCGCGAGGUGGUGGACUCUACAACGUCCUCUUUGUAAAAAAAAGCUUCUUCUCCAAGCACAGGGGACCAUCCCAUAAUUACUCACCCGUCCAUCAAACCGAGCCCCCAUGCCAUCCAACAUGCUACAGAGAGAUAGCUCUGUCUGGGUAGACUGAAAGCGGCACGGCUCAUUCUUAACUGUGAAAGCUAAACGAUGUUCCUACAGCGAGCAGUAUGUAUCAAUUGUAUUGAUUUAUUAUUCUGUGAUCUCCUUGGUUUACCGAUGUAGAUGUGAUUAAAUGCACCGUGCCUUGUCCUAAAGAGUCUUGUUGUCUAAUGGGUGGUUGUGAAGCAGUAGUGUUAUACAAAACAAGAGGCUGUUAUUAUCUUGUCAUUACAGUUCUGUGAAUAUAUCCAAAUGUUGUAGACAUUGACUAAAAAAAAGCUGUGAAAUAAAUUGAGCCCUUCUGUUCUACGAAAUGUGUUUAACCUUAGUGAACGUGAUGAAAAGUAGGCAAAUACAGUAUAAACGAGGUGUUAUUGUAGGCUGUAUAACAGUGUGUGCUUUCCUCUCCUUUAUGGAAGUAAAAUGUUUUUUUUAUAUAUUAAAAGAUUAAAUACC